CUUUUGGUUCCUCCGAAGUCAAAAUCAACUCUGCCUCUCCUCUUUCCCAUGUCCGCCGCACCGAGGACGCGUCAUCCCUAAACCGCUCCCUGCUGUCCACGCGCUCGCAUGUCCCAAGUCACCGCAAGCUGUUCCCGCAGAUGGAGAGGAGCCCUGCAGAUCCAGCCUGGAGAAUGGGUGGCCUGAGAGUGACCCGGGCCUGGAGCCCAGAAAUGAGUUGGAAAUAAAGAAGUGGGAGGAGACAACAGCAGAUGUGGCCAGAUGUGAGGGUCAGCAUCGAUUUAAAUAUUUAGAAACCUCUUUGUGAAGACAAGUUUUGCAUCUGUGGUGAUGGAUUAAAGUUACAGGGGGCGUGAAUUAGA